rnacentral:rRNA from 1 species
GAGUUUGAUCAUGGCUCAGGAUGAACGCUAGCGGCAGGCCUAACACAUGCAAGUCGAGGGGUAACAUGAUUUGCUUGCAAAUUGAUGACGACCGGCGCACGGGUGCGUAACGCGUAUAGAACCUACCUUUUACUGGGGGAUAACCAGGAGAAAUCCUGACUAAUACCCCAUGGUAUGUAUUUGUUGCAUAACAGUUACAUUAAAGAUUUAUCGGUAAAAGAUGGCUAUGCGUCCUAUUAGCUGGAUGGUGCGGUAACGGCGCACCAUGGCGACGAUAGGUAGGGGCCCUGAGAGGGGGAUCCCCCACACUGGUACUGAGACACGGACCAGACUCCUACGGGAGGCAGCAGUGAGGAAUAUUGGACAAUGGGGGCAACCCUGAUCCAGCCAUGCCGCGUGCAGGAAGACUGCCCUAUGGGCUGUAAACUGCUUUUAUACGGGAAGAAACACCGCUACGUGUAGCGGCUUGACGGUACCGUAAGAAUAAGGAUCGGCUAACUCCGUGCCAGCAGCCGCGGUAA